UACAGAGGGGGCAAGCGUUAUUCGGAAUUAUUGGGCGUAAAGGGCGCGUAGGCGGCUUUGCAAGUGACGGGUGAAAUCCCUCGGCUUAACCGGGGAACUGCCUGUCAAACUGCAUGGCUUGAGACCGGGAGAGGUGAGUGGAAUUCCCAGUGUAGCGGUGAAAUGCGUAGAUAUUGGGAGGAACACCAGUGGCGAAGGCGGCUCACUGGACCGGUACUGACGCUGAGGUGCGAAAGCGUGGGGAGCAAACAGG
rnacentral:rRNA from 1 species